rnacentral:rRNA from 1 species
AGCGAACGUUAGCGGCGGGCCUAACACAUGCAAGUCGCACGAGAAACGGAGCAAUCCGCGGUACAGUGGCGCACGGGUGAGUAACACGUGGAUGACCUUCCCUGGAGUGGUGGAUAACCUGCCGAAAGGCGGGCUAAUACAGCAUAGGACCACGACGCUUUGGCGAUGUGGUGAAAGCGGGCCUCUAUAUAUAAGCUCGCGCUCCGGGGACGGGUCCGCGUCCCAUCAGCUAGUUGGUGAGGUAACGGCUCACCAAGGCAACGACGGGUAGCUGGUCUGAGAGGAUGGCCAGCCACACUGGAACUGAGACACGGUCCAGACUCCUACGGAGGCAGCAGUGGGGAAUCUUGCGCAAUGGGCGAAAGCCUGACGCAGCGACGCCGCGUGGGCGAAGAAGGCCU